rnacentral:lncRNA from 1 species
GGAGUGCAGGAGGCCCAGCCAUGCUGAAGAAAAGCCCAGUGUUGGGCCAGCCUGGGUGUGGGCGAGGGGCACUUUGGGCGCUCGCUCAGCAACCUCCAGAGGCCCCCUGGGAGGGUGGUGAAGGAGCUGAAGGACAAGGAGGGCGCUCCGGGGAACUUGGGGUCAGGAAAACCAGGAGGUGGCGAAGGACACCAAGAAGGAGUAGCCAGAGGUCAAGGCAAA